rnacentral:tmRNA from 1 species
GGGGGCGUACUGGUUUCGACGGGGAGAAUGAGGUGCGCCGAAGCGAGCCGAGGUUGUCGCAGGCCUCGUUAAAUAGGCGGCAGCGUCAAUUAGACGCCAAUAAUAACUACGCUUACGCUGCUUAAAUAGCAGCCGUCCAAUCCGGCCUUAACCUGGGAGACCGGUGCGGGCGUCACUUAAACCAGGACGCUCUGCUGUCAAUUCUCGGAGACAGUAGCUAAGAUUAUCGAGAUAGCUGACGGAGACUUUGCCGUGGGAGGCUUCAGAGGCGAAAUUUAAAACACCGGCUGCGCUCGGAGAAACGGUUCACAACAUCUUUUCGGACAGGGGUUCGACUCCCCUCGCCUCCACCA